UGGCUCAGAACGAACGCUGGCGGCAGGCCUAACACAUGCAAGUCGAACGGGCGUAGCAAUACGCCAGUGGCAGACGGGUGAGUAACGCGUGGGAACGUACCCUUUGGUUCGGAACAACCCAGGGAAACUUGGGCUAAUACCGGAUAAGCCCUUACGGGGAAAGAUUUAUCGCCGAAAGAUCGGCCCGCGUCCGAUUAGCUUGUUGGUGAGGUAACGGCUCACCAAGGCGGCGAUCGGUAGCUGGUCUGAGAGGAUGACCAGCCUCACUGGGACUUAUCCUCGGCCCAGGAACCUACGGGAGGCAGC
rnacentral:rRNA from 1 species